UGCAAGUCGAGCGGAGUUUUGAAAAGCUUGCUUUUCAAAACUUAGCGGCGGACGGGUGAGUAACACGUGGGCAACCUGCCCUUGAGACGGGGAUAACUCCGGGAAACCGGAGCUAAUACCGGAUAACACAUAUCUUCGCAUGAGGAUAUGUUAGAAGGUGGCUUUUAGCUACCACUCAAGGAUGGGCCCGCGGCGCAUUAGCUAGUUGGUGAGGUAACGGCUCACCAAGGCGACGAUGCGUAGCCGACCUGAGAGGGUGAUCGGCCACACUGGGACUGAGACACGGCCCAGACUCCUACGGGAGGCAGCAGUAGGGAAUCUUCCGCAAUGGACGAAAGUCUGACGGAGCAACGCCGCGUGAGUGAUGAAGGUUUUCGGAUCGUAAAGCUCUGUUGUUAGGGAAGAACAAGUACCUGUUAAAUAAGCAGGUACCUUGACGGUACCUAACCAGAAAGCCACGGCUAACUACGUGCCAGCAGCCGCGGUAAUACGUAGGUGGCAAGCGUUGUCCGGAAUUAUUGGGCGUAAAGCGCGCGCAGGCGGUUCCUUAAGUCUGAUGUGAAAGCCCACGGCUCAACCGUGGAGGGUCAUUGGAAACUGGGGAACUUGAGUGCAGAAGAGGAGAGCGGAAUUCCACGUGUAGCGGUGAAAUGCGUAGAGAUGUGGAGGAACACCAGUGGCGAAGGCGGCUCUCUGGUCUGUAACUGACGCUGAGGCGCGAAAGCGUGGGGAGCGAACAGGAUUA
rnacentral:rRNA from 1 species